rnacentral:rRNA from 1 species
CCUACGGGGGGCUGCAGUCGAGAAUCAUUCACAAUGGGGGAAACCCUGAUGGUGCGACGCCGCGUGGGGGAAUGAAGGUCUUCGGAUUGUAAACCCCUGUCAUGUGGGAGCAAAUUAAAAAGAUAGUACCACAAGAGGAAGAGACGGCUAACUCUGUGCCAGCAGCCGCGGUAAUACAGAGGUCUCAAGCGUUGUUCGGAAUCACUGGGCGUAAAGCGUGCGUAGGCUGUUUCGUAAGUCGUGUGUGAAAGGCGCGGGCUCAACCCGCGGACGGCACAUGAUACUGCGAGACUAGAGUAAUGGAGGGGGAGCCGGAAUUCUCGGUGUAGCAGUGAAAUGCGUAGAUAUCGAGAGGAACACUCGUGGCGAAGGCGGGUUCCUAGACAUUAACUGACGCUGAGGCACGAAGGCCAGGGGAGCGAAAGGGAUUAGAUACGCCGGUAGUC